rnacentral:rRNA from 1 species
UACGAAGGGGCUAGCGUUGCUCGGAAUCACUGGGCGUAAAGGGUGCGUAGGCGGGUCUUUUAAGUCAGGGGUGAAAUCCUGGAGCUCAACUCCAGAACUGCCUUUGAUACUGAAGAUCUUGAGUUCGGGAGAGGUGAGUGGAACUGCGAGUGUAGAGGUGAAAUUCGUAGAUAUUCGCAAGAACACCAGUGGCGAAGGCGGACUCACUGGCCCGAUACUGACGCU